rnacentral:tRNA from 1 species
GGGGUUGUGGCUCAGAGGUAGAGCACUCUCCUAGCGUGUUUGAGGCACUGGGUUCGAUCCUCAGCACCACA